rnacentral:rRNA from 1 species
AACCGGGAUUGCCUUAGUAACGGCGAGUGAAGCGGCAAAAGCUCAAAUUUGAAAUCUGGCGUCUUCGACGUCCGAGUUGUAAUUUGAAGAAGGCGACUUUGUAGCUGGUCCUUGUCUAUGUUCCUUGGAACAGGACGUCAUAGAGGGUGAGAAUCCCGUGUGGCGAGGAUCCCAGUUAUUUGUAAAGUGCUUUCGACGAGUCGAGUUGUUUGGGAAUGCAGCUCUAAGUGGGUGGUAAAUUCCAUCUAAAGCUAAAUAUUGGCGAGAGACCGAUAGCGAACAAGUACAGUGAUGGAAAGAUGAAAAGAACUUUGAAAAGAGAGUGAAAAAGUACGUGAAAUUGUUGAAAGGGAAGGGCAUUUGAUCAGACAUGGCGUUUGCUUCGGCUUUCGCUGGGCCAGCAUCAGUUUUAGCGGUUGGAUAAAUCCUCGGGAAUGUGGCUCUGCUUCGGUAGAGUGUUAUAGCCCGUGGGAAUACAGCCAGCUGGGACUGAGGAUUGCGACUUUUGUCAAGGAUGCUGGCGUAAUGGUUAAAUGCCGCCCGUCUUGAAACACGGACCUCCUGUGUGAAGUGA